GUUGGCAUAUGUCUAAGGUAAGUCUAUACCUCAGUAAGUCUUUAUACAUUUAGGAAUGAAUGCUGUUUCAUUCUCAUGCUGAUAAAGUCCAUGCAAGUCUGUGCUCCAUCAGGCCAGGUGCCAGCCACCCCUACAGACAGGUAAGAAACUGACCUGGAUAAUUAGCCCCGCUUGGAAGAUGCAGACAUUGGGACUUGACAGAUGAAAUGGCCUGACUUGUAGGCACCAGAUACAAUGGUCAUGCCUGCUGUACAGAUGUCAUUAUGUGGAGCUACUUCAUUCUGCAAAAAAAAAAAUCUGUCAGUUUUCUUCAGGCAGUGACCUCAGACGGGAGAAAGGAAAGCAACACAGACAAUGGAAAAGAAGAAAUGGAGAAAGGAAGGGAGGAUGGGAAGGGCCAGGAGAGAUUAUGGAUUUGGAUUUGUGCUAUUCCCUCUCUAUGUCAUCUCAGCUAAUUUCCUUUAACUCCCUACUCCAUAAAAUUGUGUUAAGUGAGAUGAACUUUUAUUUGCUUGUUUGGGGACAGGGUCUUCCUGUGCUGAGAUUACGGGUAUGAGACACCAUUCUGGACACUUCUAGAGAAUUCAUCUCAGCCCCCACUUCUCUCUCCCAUGACUUCUAGACCAGAUCACUGCAGGCAGAGUCGUCUGCUCUAGUGGCCCCUAAAACAACUGGCCUAGAUGAGAUUUACAAGUAACUAAUACUUGAAAAGUAUUUAGUGGUAGUAACUGUAAUGAUUAAUUUUUGAUAUAAUUUUCCGGACAGCUGGGCAUCCACAUAUUUGCUAAGACAUUGCUCUGGGCAUUUCUGUGAGGGUAUUUCCAGAUAAGUUUAACUUUUAAGUCAAUAGACCAAGUGAUGUAGUUGACCUUGUUAAUGAGGGUGGCCCUCAGCUAAUCAGUUAAAAGCCCAAACAGAACAGAAAAAUGAACUUCCCACGAGUAAGAGUGAUAGGUGCCUCCUGCCUGGCAAACACCUGGAGCAUCAGCCUCUGCUUGCCUCCCACUGAGCAGUUAGCUCUUCUUGUGUGUCCAGCCUGCCAGCCAUUGGACGGGAGCUACACCAUCAGUCUCCUGGUUCUCAGGCCCUUGGGCUUGGGCAAGAGCUUUACUCUGGCUCUGCUGGAUCUCAGCUUCCCACCCACAGAUUUGGGAACUUAUCAGUGUCCACAAUCAUGUAAGCUAAUAUCUUAUGAGACACUGCAUACAUGCACACACAUGUAUACACCCACAUGCUCAAUUCUUUGUUUUUCUGGAAAGCCCAGACUACUGCAAUUACAAUAAUUUAAUUGUAGUUUGUAUUUCUUUGCAAAAUGAUAGUCCAAAAAUAAUAAUAUUCAAGAUACCUUGAAUUUUUGUUUAAUCCUGUUCUAUGGGAAAAUUAUUUUAUUUGCAAAACAAGGAACUGACAUGAAUUCUGAGACACUUUCUGAGGCCAUGAGUUCUGGAAACUUCUUUAUCGCAGGAGGUAGCUAAAGAAUGGCAACCCCCUUUUUUUCUCUAAGGUCAAGGUUUUACACCGGUUUUUAAAUUUUUAUUAUUAUUGCUUUCCUAUCUGAUAAGUUAAACAGUGACCAGAAAGGAAGGGGAACAUUGGAGGCGUAGAAAGCAGGCGAAGGUUCAGUCGAUUGUCAGAUGCCUGCAGGACCCCGGAAGCUGGUGGUUAAGGGAAGCACUUUCCAUAAAUGUCAUCUCACAGGAGGAGACCCCCAGCCAUGGCUAAGAGCAUCUCUAGGUCUGUGUACUGCUCCACAAAAAUGUUUGUGAAGGUUUGCACGCCCAGCAGGUGGAACCAGGUAGAACCUUAUACAUCACCUAGUCUGCGGCUUCUUGAGAGGUGGUAGUGACAUAGUUUUUGAAUCCCUGAUCCCCAUAUAAAGUGGUUAAAGGAAAAUCAUAAGCUCAUGAACACUGGCAAUAAAGUGAAGUGAUAGUUUAUCCCUUUGAUCCACCAAAUAUGAGGGGUGAGAUCAAACAGAACGCUCAUGUUGGCCUCUGAGAAUAAGAAAGCAGAAGGCAGGAUGGGUUAUAGGAAGCUCUGGGUAUAGGAGAACCCCUAAACCGUCUGCCAGAACUUGGGGUGGUGGGAGCUGGCAGGCUGACACAGGGGCAACAGCUAAACCUGGGAGCUAAACACUGUUGACCACCGGUGUUAGUAACUGUGAGCUCCACGCCCUGGGGCUGGACCAGCACAAUCAUCCUGGUACCGUUUAUACUUUAAUGAUCUGAUUGGUUUCAUGGUAUAAACAUCAUCAUCAUCAUAAUCAGUUGCAGGUAUCAACAUGAACAUAAAGUUGGGAGCCAGCUGUGGGAAGAGCCAGGGCCCCUUUCCAGGCCUGGCUGAACACUGAGUACAAACUGCUGAGGGGAAAAAAGUCAAAACGAAGCAGAAUGAGGAAAAAGGAUUUAAUGGCCGUGAACUUUUCCUUUCUUGGAGAAUGAAACAGGUCCAGGGAUCACAGAGGACACCAGCAUCUUUCUGAACUCUGAGGAAACAGAGGAAGGCGCUCACUCCCUAAAGCUAGCAUGGCUACUUCAAACCAAGUUGCCGACCAGGAACACCAACACACCCUGAAAUGAGCAAAGCGCUGUGAGAAAAUCCUGUGAAUUUUCCUGUGAUAAGUCAUACAACAUCACACUGGCCAGAAUCGCAGAAACAGGCAAGGCAUGCUCAUUCUGGCUCAUCUAUUCUGGUUGGAGGCCACACUACCUACAACGAGUUAAACUAGCCUAACGCAAGCUGUGACGCUCACAGUGGCUUCCUCCUCCCACUCAGUCAACAACUUUCUGUUCACUCCAAACUUCCUCCCAGUUGCCAUAGAUUUACAACUAGAGGCAUACCGUGUGCCAGACCACCUCAUCACACGCUCAAUAUCUAUUCCCAAUCCCUUCAUGGCUCAAAUGACAGCUGAUAAAUCAUUAACAAAGGA